rnacentral:rRNA from 1 species
UACAGAGGGUGCAAGCGUUAAUCGGAAUUACUGGGCGUAAAGCGUGCGUAGGUGGUUGUUUAAGUCUGUUGUGAAAGCCCUGGGCUCAACCUGGGAAUUGCAGUGGAUACUGGGCGACUAGAGUGUGGUAGAGGGUAGUGGAAUUCCCGGUGUAGCAGUGAAAUGCGUAGAGAUCGGGAGGAACAUCCAUGGCGAAGGCAGCUACCUGGACCAACACUGACACUGAGGCACGAAAGCGUGGGGAGCAAACAGG